AUUAUAAAUUGUUACAAAACAAUAGGUUGAUAAUGACCCUGCUUGAAAGUGCUUUCAAUCUACAUCAGGUAGGGUAUAAAAACACAAUAAGGGCAGACUAGGGAAUAGCAACCAAGCAGCAGGCUGGGAAGUAGCACAAUUGAAAGGUGAAAGUGGACUGUGGCCCUCUAGAAAGAGAGCAAAAAAAAGUUUGAGUGAGUUUUGAGAGACUUAAUCUUUAUCUGCUAGUAUAUGGCCUUGUCUGCAAGACCAGAUGAUGCCGAGUCCUGAGUGAAACUUAUGAAUGCUGUUUUGGACAUAGGUUGUUAUAGAGAGUCUGGGGCCAGAUAAAACAACUAAAACAAUCAAUGGGAGAGAUACAAUAGGUGAAAGUUAUAAAAGCUAACAUCAAUUUACCCCUUCAGGACAGUGUCUGUUUCUGCGAUGUUGUACGUUAAGGACCAGGGCUCUUUUUUAACACUUUUGUUGUGUUUGCGUUUAGCUGUAAUUUUCCUCGCUCCCAUUUACUGUUCCCAUACAAGUUAUAUAUUGUUUUUCAGGACAAAAAGGGCUUUCUUUACAUACCAUUAUUUGUAAUAUGUCAUAAUUUACUUAAAAAUAAAAAAAGAUAUGGUGAAAUUUGAAAAAACACUAAACUUUUUUUUU